AAAUGUAACAAUUAUAAAUAUAUAUAUAUAUAUAUAUGUGUGUGUGUGUGUGUGUGUGUGUAUAUAUUCCUAACAGCAGAACCCCAAAAUACAUGAAGCAAAUA
rnacentral:miRNA from 1 species